AUUGAACGCUGGCGGCAGGCCUAACACAUGCAAGUCGAACGGUAACAGGAAGAAGCUUGCUUCUUUGCUGACGAGUGGCGGACGGGUGAGUAAUGUCUGGGAAACUGCCUGAUGGAGGGGGAUAACUACUGGAAACGGUAGCUAAUACCGCAUAACGUCGCAAGACCAAAGAGGGGGACCUUCGGGCCUCUUGCCAUCGGAUGUGCCCAGAUGGGAUUAGCUAGUAGGUGGGGUAACGGCUCACCUAGGCGACGAUCCCUAGCUGGUCUGAGAGGAUGACCAGCCACACGGGAACGGAGACACGGUCCAGACUCCUACGGGAGGCAGCAGUGGGGAAUAUUGCACAAUGGGCGCAAGCCUGAUGCAGCCAUGCCGCGUGUAUGAAGAAGGCCUUCGGGUUGUAAAGUACUUUCAGCGGGGAGGAAGGGAGUAAAGUUAAUACCUUUGCUCAUUGACGUUACCCGCAGAAGAAGCACCGGCUAACUCCGUG
rnacentral:rRNA from 1 species